CUUGGUGUCUCUAGCGAAGUGGCAACACCUGAUCCCAUUCCGAACUCAGCCGUUAAGCACUUCAGCACCGAUGAUACCCCGACAUUAUGUCCGGGGAAAGUAGGCCGGUGCCAAGA
rnacentral:rRNA from 3 species